UACGUAGGGUGCGAGCGUUGUCCGGAAUUACUGGGCGUAAAGAGCUCGUAGGUGGUUUGUCGCGUUGUUCGUGAAAACUCACAACUCAAUUGUGGGCGUGCGGGCGAUACGGGCAGACUGGAGUACUGCAGGGGAGACUGGAAUUCCUGGUGUAGCGGUGGAAUGCGCAGAUAUCAGGAGGAACACCGAUGGCGAAGGCAGUGUUCUGGGCCAGUACUGACGUGGAGGAGCGAAAGCGUGGGAGCAAACAGG
rnacentral:rRNA from 1 species